GUCCGCAUUCUAAGACAGUUGGAAACUUGGCAACCAAUGCUCUAUCUCUGGGAAACCGAUAGAGAGGGUAUGUGGAAGUAUCUCUCUGAAGGAAACCGAUUUUGGAGCUUCCUGGGAAUUGGAUCAUCUUUUACAGAGAAGUUGAUUCCAAAGACCUAACUCCACACUGACUAUCUGGUUACAUGCUUGGAAAAGAAUUGCCACAUGCCUAGAGAAAUCCUCUAGCAUAUCUUUGUGAGGAGUAAGAAGGACCAAGAGAAAGUAAUUACAAUAUAAAUAGUUCUUCACAUAUUAAACAUUAAUCUUGGACACUAACAUUAAUGGCUGUGAGUCAACUUGUAUUGUACUGUAUUAAGAUGUACAAAUAUUUCAAUAAACAAAUUAACUGGCU
rnacentral:lncRNA from 1 species